rnacentral:rRNA from 15 species
ACUGCCCGGAGAAUUGAAACAUCUAAGUACCUGGUGCUCAAAAAAUAUGAUCCCGGGAGUAGUGGCGAGCGAAAGUGGGUAACUUAAAAACCGUAUAUUGGAAUAGCGGGCCGUAGUAGGUGAAAGCCCUGGUAAAAUUAUUUACAUCAGUAAAGCCUUGGGCUUGAAUAAGGGGGGCCAGCCUCCAAGUAACUUAUAACACAUAUAAGCGAUAGUGAACUAGUACCGUAAGGGAAAGCUGAAAUAGAACCCUGUUGGGAUUUAAUAGUACCUUAAACUCUUCAGAUUUAUCAGUCAUUGUGGCGUACCUUUUGUAUAAUGGGCCAGUAACUUAAUAAGUGGAGCAAGUGUAACGAAGGGUACACGCAGCUAACGCAAGUCUUAAUUAAGGCAAUUUAGUUUCAUUUAUUAAACCCGAAACCAGGUGAUCUAGCCGUAAGCAGGCUAAAGGGUCGGCAGAAGGGCCGAACCCUAGGAUGUAGCAAAAUCCAGGGAAGACUUGCGGUUAGGGGUGAAAGGCCAAACAAACUUGGAUAUAGCUGGUUUUCUGCGAAAUCUAUUUAAGUAGAGCGUCGUCAGGAAGUAAAACAAUAAUUACUAAAUUAAAAAAAGGGGGGGGGUAAAGCUCUGGAUCCUUGAUGGGGGCUUUUUUGCUUUACUGAUAGGGUUUAAACUUCGAAUACCAUGACGGCAGACAGACUGUGGGUGAUAAGAUCCGCAGUCAAGAGGGAAACAGCCCAGACCACAGGAUAAGGUUCUUAAGAAAAGAUAAGUUAAAAGGCGAGUCACUGCUGGGACAACUCUAACGGUGGGCUUAGAAGCAGCCAUCCGUCAAAGAUAUCGUUAAAGAUCAUGGGAUGAGCUACUGUACCGCCAUAAAUUUUGAGUUAAAGCUUUUCACCGAAGCCGUGGCUUUAUUGGGUAGCAGAAUGUGUACAAUUGGUAGAAGGGGGUUUGUAAAAGCUUGUGGACGAUUGUAUAGUAAUAAUGCUGGCAUGAGUAACGCUAAAUAAUGUAAAACAUUAUCACCGUAAAGCCUAAGGUUUGCGGCUUUGACCUUCGCUGUAAUUUAGCGGCGUUACUGAUAGGAUAUUCCACAGAAGCGUGAAUCGGUUCCUAAGAAUAAGCCCGAGCGGGCUUUUCGAUGGAUUG